rnacentral:lncRNA from 10 species
CUGGAGACGGUCCUGCCGUAUCAGUUUGUCUUCACACCGUUCUGUUAGACGGACACUAACAGAAUCCUCAUGUUCCAGACAAUGAAACUGAGGUACCAGAGAGCUUCCUUGCAGACAGAAAACGGUGGUCUGCCUGACCAUGAGCCCUGCUCUCUGGCUGCCGUAACCAGGGCCGCUGUUGUUAAGCCCCUUCUGAUGACACACAAUGGGCUUUUGCCCAGUAACGCCCCUCCACAGAAGUGGCAGGUGUGUGCAUGGCACAGACUCACCCCCGCUGUUUACUGGUCAUGUUUGUCAUAAGUAGCACCUGGUGCCACCUGAGUGGCCUACCCGGGCCUGCUUUUCCUUCUCAGUUUGCCUCUGUGUUACCUUCUGUUCCAGCUCACUCUUCCUUUCACCCUCUUGCGCUCCUUCUCGCCCUCAGACCUGGGCUGAACUACAGCCAUCUGGAGGGGCCCCUGCCCACCCUGGGCCCUUAACUUCCGGUGCUUCUGGCUGCAGGCAGCGGAGCGGAGCACAGGACACUUGGUGAUGUCUGAGUCCAGUCCUGUUUCAGAUCUGGUCCUUGUGUGCCCACCGUGGCUGUUGUCAGCUCUUGUCCUGCGGCCCCUAAUGGCUGGAGUCCGGUACUCACUGCUCACUUAGGGAUAAAACUGCUGGUGGAACUGCCUAAAGUGUGGGAGGUUCUGACAUCCAGGUAUGGCUGCUUCCUUCCCAGGGCCAGUCGUGGCAGAGGCGCUAGGUCACCCUCAGGGCCAUACCCUGAGCUGUGUCUCCAGCCCCUUGUGUUCCACAGUGUUUGUCUCCCAGGCCCAUCCUUCUCCUCCCUGAC